CUGAAGCAGAAGUUGUGCCUGGAGAGGGAAUGGAAAUACACCAUAGAAGUGAGGCAGAAGAUCAUUCCGGCUUAUCGGGUCUUGCGAAGUUGCUAAAUUGCCCAGUCUGGGCUCAAAUUUGUGACCCUCCUGCCUCAGCCUCUCAGAGUGAUGAAAUUUCAGGGAUGUGCCAGCACACCUGGCUUUUAUUAAUUAUUUUAAUCUUAUCUACUUGGUCAAGAUAUCACUAAAGCAUACUGAUAAUGAGCUCAGAAUCACAGCUCCACUGAAAAGAGACUGAUAGAAAGAAAAUAAAGUCAAAGCCAAGUUUAAUAAAAGGAAGAGUCUUGCAAGACGGAAUGGAAGUUGGAAAAUCAAUCGCCCAUAACUAAACCAACAAAUUUAAUACCUAGCGAAGCCCUACAUGUUUUAGCUCAAAAAUCAUGGUUGACAGUUGUGA
rnacentral:lncRNA from 1 species